GGAGAUGUACCCAAGUGGUUGAAGGGACCGGAUUCGAAAUCCGGCAGAUCGAUAUUAUCGGUGCGUGGGUUCAAAUCCCACCAUCUCCG
rfam:Filifactor alocis ATCC 35896, complete genome.